rnacentral:tRNA from 1 species
GGUCAAGGGAUGGGAAUCGAACCCACGACCUUCCGCUUACCGGGCAGAUGCCAUGACCAUUAGGCUACCCUGGAC